CCUCACAAAGGCGGCGGAAGGUGAUCGAAUUCCGGUGAUGCGAGUUGUUCUCCGUCUAUAAAUACGCCUCGCCCGAGCUGUGCGGUAGGCAUUGAGGCAGCCAGCGCAGGGGCUUCUGCUGAGGGGGCAGGCGGAGCUUGAGGAAACCGCAGAUAAGUUUUUUUCUCUUUGAAAGAUAGAGAUUAAUACAACUACUUAAAAAAUAUAGUCAAUAGGUUACUAAGAUAUUGCUUAGCGUUAAGUUUUUAACGUAAUUUUAAUAGCUUAAGAUUUUAAGAGAAAAUAUGAAGACUUAGAAGAGUAGCAUGAGGAAGGAAAAGAUAAAAGGUUUCUAAAACAUGACGGAGGUUGAGAUGAAGCUUCUUCAUGGAGUAAAAAAUGUAUUUAAAAGAAAAUUGAGAGAAAGGACUACAGAGCCCCGAAUUAAUACCAAUAGAAGGGCAAUGCUUUUAGAUUAAAAUGAAGGUGACUUAAACAGCUUAAAGUUUAGUUUAAAAGUUGUAGGUGAUUAAAAUAAUUUGAAGGCGAUCUUUUAAAAAGAGAUUAAACCGAAGGUGAUUAAAAGACCUUGAAAUCCAUGACGCAGGGAGAAUUGCGUCAUUUAAAGCCUAGUUAACGCAUUUACUAAACGCAGACGAAAAUGGAAAGAUUAAUUGGGAGUGGUAGGAUGAAACAAUUUGGAGAAGAUAGAAGUUUGAAGUGGAAAACUGGAAGACAGAAGUACGGGAAGGCGAAGAAAAGAAUAGAGAAGAUAGGGAAAUUAGAAGAUAAAAACAUACUUUUAGAAGAAAAAAGAUAAAUUUAAACCUGAAAAGUAGGAAGCAGAAGAAAAAAGACAAGCUAGGAAACAAAAAGCUAAGGGCAAAAUGUACAAACUUAGAAGAAAAUUGGAAGAUAGAAACAAGAUAGAAAAUGAAAAUAUUGUCAAGAGUUUCAGAUAGAAAAUGAAAAACAAGCUAAGACAAGUAUUGGAGAAGUAUAGAAGAUAGAAAAAUAUAAAGCCAAAAAUUGGAUAAAAUAGCACUGAAAAAAUGAGGAAAUUAUUGGUAACCAAUUUAUUUUAAAAGCCCAUCAAUUUAAUUUCUGGUGGUGCAGAAGUUAGAAGGUAAAGCUUGAGAAGAUGAGGGUGUUUACGUAGACCAGAACCAAUUUAGAAGAAUACUUGAAGCUAGAAGGGGAAGUUGGUUAAAAAUCACAUCAAAAAGCUACUAAAAGGACUGGUGUAAUUUAAAAAAAACUAAGGCAGAAGGCUUUUGGAAGAGUUAGAAGAAUUUGGAAGGCCUUAAAUAUAGUAGCUUAGUUUGAAAAAUGUGAAGGACUUUCGUAACGGAAGUAAUUCAAGAUCAAGAGUAAUUACCAACUUAAUGUUUUUGCAUUGGACUUUGAGUUAAGAUUAUUUUUUAAAUCCUGAGGACUAGCAUUAAUUGACAGCUGACCCAGGUGCUACACAGAAGUGGAUUCAGUGAAUCUAGGAAGACAGCAGCAGACAGGAUUCCAGGAACCAGUGUUUGAUGAAGCUAGGACUGAGGAGCAAGCGAGCAAGCAGCAGUUCGUGGUGAAGAUAGGAAAAGAGUCCAGGAGCCAGUGCGAUUUGGUGAAGGAAGCUAGGAAGAAGGAAGGAGCGCUAACGAUUUGGUGGUGAAGCUAGGAAAAAGGAUUCCAGGAAGGAGCGAGUGCAAUUUGGUGAUGAAGGUAGCAGGCGGCUUGGCUUGGCAACCACACGGAGGAGGCGAGCAGGCGUUGUGCGUAGAGGAUCCUAGACCAGCAUGCCAGUGUGCCAAGGCCACAGGGAAAGCGAGUGGUUGGUAAAAAUCCGUGAGGUCGGCAAUAUGUUGUUUUUCUGGAACUUACUUAUGGUUUCUCUUUUUCAGGCUUAUACUCAUGAAUCUUGUCUGAAGCUUUUGAGGGCAGACUGCCAAGUCCUGGAGAAAUAGUAGAUGGCAAGUUUGUGGGUUUUUUUUUUUUACACGAAUUUGAGGAAAACCAAAUGAAUUUGAUAGCCAAAUUGAGACAAUUUCAGCAAAUCUGUAAGCAGUUUGUAUGUUUAGUUGGGGUAAUGAAGUAUUUCAGUUUUGUGAAUAGAUGACCUGUUUUUACUUCCUCACCCUGAAUUCGUUUUGUAAAUGUAGAGUUUGGAUGUGUAACUGAGGCGGGGGGGAGUUUUCAGUAUUUUUUUUUGUGGGGGUGGGGGCAAAAUAUGUUUUCAGUUCUUUUUCCCUUAGGUCUGUCUAGAAUCCUAAAGGCAAAUGACUCAAGGUGUAACAGAAAACAAGAAAAUCCAAUAUCAGGAUAAUCAGACCACCACAGGUUUACAGUUUAUAGAAACUAGAGCAGUUCUCACGUUGAGGUCUGUGGAAGAGAUGUCCAUUGGAGAAAUGGCUGGUAGUUACUCUUUUUUCCCCCCACCCCCUUAAUCAGACUUUAAAAGUGCUUAACCCCUUAAACUUGUUAUUUUUUACUUGAAGCAUUUUGGGAUGGUCUUAACAGGGAAGAGAGAGGGUGGGGGAGAAAAUGUUUUUUUCUAAGAUUUUCCACAGAUGCUAUAGUACUAUUGACAAACUGGGUUAGAGAAGGAGUGUACCGCUGUGCUGUUGGCACGAACACCUUCAGGGACUGGAGCUGCUUUUAUCCUUGGAAGAGUAUUCCCAGUUGAAGCUGAAAAGUACAGCACAGUGCAGCUUUGGUUCAUAUUCAGUCAUCUCAGGAGAACUUCAGAAGAGCUUGAGUAGGCCAAAUGUUGAAGUUAAGUUUUCCAAUAAUGUGACUUCUUAAAAGUUUUAUUAAAGGGGAGGGGCAAAUAUUGGCAAUUAGUUGGCAGUGGCCUGUUACGGUUGGGAUUGGUGGGGUGGGUUUAGGUAAUUGUUUAGUUUAUGAUUGCAGAUAAACUCAUGCCAGAGAACUUAAAGUCUUAGAAUGGAAAAAGUAAAGAAAUAUCAACUUCCAAGUUGGCAAGUAACUCCCAAUGAUUUAGUUUUUUUCCCCCCAGUUUGAAUUGGGAAGCUGGGGGAAGUUAAAUAUGAGCCACUGGGUGUACCAGUGCAUUAAUUUGGGCAAGGAAAGUGUCAUAAUUUGAUACUGUAUCUGUUUUCCUUCAAAGUAUAGAGCUUUUGGGGAAGGAAAGUAUUGAACUGGGGGUUGGUCUGGCCUACUGGGCUGACAUUAACUACAAUUAUGGGAAAUGCAAAAGUUGUUUGGAUAUGGUAGUGUGUGGUUCUCUUUUGGAAUUUUUUUCAGGUGAUUUAAUAAUAAUUUAAAACUACUAUAGAAACUGCAGAGCAAAGGAAGUGGCUUAAUGAUCCUGAAGGGAUUUCUUCUGAUGGUAGCUUUUGUAUUAUCAAACAGGUAUCUCUUCGUUAUCAGAAGAGUUGCUUCAUUUCAUCUGGGAGCAGAAAACAGCAGGCAGCUGUUAACAGAUAAGUUUAACUUGCAUCUGCAGUAUUGCAUGUUAGGGAUAAGUGCUUAUUUUUAAGAGCUGUGGAGUUCUUAAAUAUCAACCAUGGCACUUUCUCCUGACCCCUUCCCUAGGGGAUUUCAGGAUUGAGAAAUUUUUCCAUCGAGCCUUUUUAAAAUUGUAGGACUUGUUCCUGUGGGCUUCAGUGAUGGGAUAGUACACUUCACUCAGAGGCAUUUGCAUCUUUAAAUAAUUUCUUAAAAGCCUCUAAAGUGAUCAGUGCCUUGAUGCCAACUAAGGAAAUUUGUUUAGCAUUGAAUCUCUGAAGGCUCUAUGAAAGGAAUAGCAUGAUGUGCUGUUAGAAUCAGAUGUUACUGCUAAAAUUUACAUGUUGUGAUGUAAAUUGUGUAGAAAACCAUUAAAUCAUUCAAAAUAAUAAACUAUUUUUAUUAGAGAAUGUAUACUUUUAGAAAGCUGUCUCCUUAUUUAAAUAAAAUAGUGUUUGUCUGUAGUUCAGUGUUGGGGCAAUCUUGGGGGGGAUUCUUCUCUAAUCUUUCAGAAACUUUGUCUGCGAACACUCUUUAAUGGACCAGAUCAGGAUUUGAGCGGAAGAACGAAUGUAACUUUAAGGCAGGAAAGACAAAUUUUAUUCUUCAUAAAGUGAUGAGCAUAUAAUAAUUCCAGGCACAUGGCAAUAGAGGCCCUCUAAAUAAGGAAUAAAUAACCUCUUAGACAGGUGGGAGAUUAUGAUCAGAGUAAAAGGUAAUUACACAUUUUAUUUCCAGAAAGUCAGGGGUCUAUAAAUUGACAGUGAUUAGAGUAAUACUUUUUCACAUUUCCAAAGUUUGCAUGUUAACUUUAAAUGCUUACAAUCUUAGAGUGGUAGGCAAUGUUUUACACUAUUGACCUUAUAUAGGGAAGGGAGGGGGUGCCUGUGGGGUUUUAAAGAAUUUUCCUUUGCAGAGGCAUUUCAUCCUUCAUGAAGCCAUUCAGGAUUUUGAAUUGCAUAUGAGUGCUUGGCUCUUCCUUCUGUUCUAACUUCACAGAGAAUGCAGUUGUCUUGACUUCAGGUCUGUCUGUUCUGUUGGCAAGUAAAUGCAGUACUGUUCUGAUCCCGCUGCUAUUAGAAUGCAUUGUGAAACGACUGGAGUAUGAUUAAAAGUUGUGUUCCCCAAUGCUUGGAGUAGUGAUUGUUGAAGGAAAAAAUCCAGCUGAGUGAUAAAGGCUGAGUGUUGAGGAAAUUUCUGCAGUUUUAAGCAGUCGUAUUUGUGAUUGAAGCUGAGUACAUUUUGCUGGUGUAUUUUUAGGUAAAAUGCUUUUUGUUCAUUUCUGGUGGUGGGAGGGGACUGAAGCCUUUAGUCUUUUCCAGAUGCAACCUUAAAAUCAGUGACAAGAAACAUUCCAAACAAGCAACAGUCUUCAAGAAAUUAAACUGGCAAGUGGAAAUGUUUAAACAGUUCAGUGAUCUUUAGUGCAUUGUUUAUGUGUGGGUUUCUCUCUCCCCUCCCUUGGUCUUAAUUCUUACAUGCAGGAACACUCAGCAGACACACGUAUGCGAAGGGCCAGAGAAGCCAGACCCAGUAAGAAAAAAUAGCCUAUUUACUUUAAAUAAACCAAACAUUCCAUUUUAAAUGUGGGGAUUGGGAACCACUAGUUCUUUCAGAUGGUAUUCUUCAGACUAUAGAAGGAGCUUCCAGUUGAAUUCACCAGUGGACAAAAUGAGGAAAACAGGUGAACAAGCUUUUUCUGUAUUUACAUACAAAGUCAGAUCAGUUAUGGGACAAUAGUAUUGAAUAGAUUUCAGCUUUAUGCUGGAGUAACUGGCAUGUGAGCAAACUGUGUUGGCGUGGGGGUGGAGGGGUGAGGUGGGCGCUAAGCCUUUUUUUAAGAUUUUUCAGGUACCCCUCACUAAAGGCACCGAAGGCUUAAAGUAGGACAACCAUGGAGCCUUCCUGUGGCAGGAGAGACAACAAAGCGCUAUUAUCCUAAGGUCAAGAGAAGUGUCAGCCUCACCUGAUUUUUAUUAGUAAUGAGGACUUGCCUCAACUCCCUCUUUCUGGAGUGAAGCAUCCGAAGGAAUGCUUGAAGUACCCCUGGGCUUCUCUUAACAUUUAAGCAAGCUGUUUUUAUAGCAGCUCUUAAUAAUAAAGCCCAAAUCUCAAGCGGUGCUUGAAGGGGAGGGAAAGGGGGAAAGCGGGCAACCACUUUUCCCUAGCUUUUCCAGAAGCCUGUUAAAAGCAAGGUCUCCCCACAAGCAACUUCUCUGCCACAUCGCCACCCCGUGCCUUUUGAUCUAGCACAGACCCUUCACCCCUCACCUCGAUGCAGCCAGUAGCUUGGAUCCUUGUGGGCAUGAUCCAUAAUCGGUUUCAAGGUAACGAUGGUGUCGAGGUCUUUGGUGGGUUGAACUAUGUUAGAAAAGGCCAUUAAUUUGCCUGCAAAUUGUUAACAGAAGGGUAUUAAAACCACAGCUAAGUAGCUCUAUUAUAAUACUUAUCCAGUGACUAAAACCAACUUAAACCAGUAAGUGGAGAAAUAACAUGUUCAAGAACUGUAAUGCUGGGUGGGAACAUGUAACUUGUAGACUGGAGAAGAUAGGCAUUUGAGUGGCUGAGAGGGCUUUUGGGUGGGAAUGCAAAAAUUCUCUGCUAAGACUUUUUCAGGUGAACAUAACAGACUUGGCCAAGCUAGCAUCUUAGCGGAAGCUGAUCUCCAAUGCUCUUCAGUAGGGUCAUGAAGGUUUUUCUUUUCCUGAGAAAACAACACGUAUUGUUUUCUCAGGUUUUGCUUUUUGGCCUUUUUCUAGCUUAAAAAAAAAAAAAGCAAAAGAUGCUGGUGGUUGGCACUCCUGGUUUCCAGGACGGGGUUCAAAUCCCUGCGGCGUCUUUGCUUUGACUACUAAUCUGUCUUCAGGACUCUUUCUGUAUUUCUCCUUUUCUCUGCAGGUGCUAGUUCUUGGAGUUUUGGGGAGGUGGGAGGUAACAGCACAAUAUCUUUGAACUAUAUACAUCCUUGAUGUAUAAUUUGUCAGGAGCUUGACUUGAUUGUAUAUUCAUAUUUACACGAGAACCUAAUAUAACUGCCUUGUCUUUUUCAGGUAAUAGCCUGCAGCUGGUGUUUUGAGAAGCCCUACUGCUGAAAACUUAACAAUUUUGUGUAAUAAAAAUGGAGAAGCUCUA
rnacentral:lncRNA from 1 species